GCCCUUGUAGCUCAAAUGGAUAGAGCAAGGCACUCCUAAGGCCGAGGUUGGAGGUUCGAAUCCUCCCAAGGGCACAA
rnacentral:tRNA from 1 species